UACCCGCAGCUCAAGUGGUGGUCAUUAUUAUUGGGCCUAAAGCGUCCGUAGCUGGCCUGUUAGAUGCCUGGGUAAAUCGAUGCGCUCAACGUAUCGAACUCCGGGUAGACCGGCAGGCUCGAGACCGGGAGAGGUGUAGGCUACUCGCGGGGUAGGGGUAAAAUCCUGUAAUCCUGCGGGGAGGACCAGUGGCGAAGGCGCUACACUAGAACGGCUCUGACAGUGAGGGACGAAGCCCUGGGGCGCAAACCGG
rnacentral:rRNA from 1 species